rnacentral:rRNA from 1 species
UGCCUAGUAAGCGCAUGUCAUCAGCAUGCGUUGAUUACGUCCCUGCCCUUUGUACACACCGCCCGUCGCUACUACCGAUUGAAUGGCUCAGUGAGGCCUCCGGACUGGCUUAGGGAGGUUGGCAACGACCACCCCGAGCCGGAAAGUUCGUCAAACUCGGUCAUUUAGAGGAAGUAAAAGUCGUAACAAGGUUUCCGUAGGUGAACCUGCGGAAGGAUCAUUACCGUGGGGCUUCGGCCCCAUUGAGAUAGCACCCUUUGUUUAUGAGUACCCUUGUUUCCUCGGCGGGCUUGCCCGCCAUGAGGACAUUAAAAACCCUUUGUAGUAGCAGUAACUUCAGUUAAUAAUAAAUAUUAAAACUUUCAACAACGGAUCUCUUGGUUCUGGCAUCGAUGAAGAACGCAGCGAAAUGCGAUAAGUAGUGUGAAUUGCAGAAUUCAGUGAAUCAUCGAAUCUUUGAACGCACAUUGCGCCCUUCGGUAUUCCGUUGGGCAUGCCUGUUCGAGCGUCAUUUAAACCUUCAAGCUAUGCUUGGUGUUGGGUGUUUGUUCCGCCUCAGUGCGUGGACUCGCCUUAAAUUCAUUGGCAGCCGGUAUGUUGGCUUCGUGCGCAGCACAUUGCAAGCGAUUUCAGCAGACCCCCUUCCACAAGCCUUUUUUUACUUUGACCUCGGAUCAGGUAGGGAUACCCGCUGAACUUAA